rnacentral:rRNA from 1 species
UUUAAAGUCUAAUCUGCCCUAUGAGGAGUUAAAUGGCCGCGGUACCCUGACCGUGCAAAGGUAGCAUAAUAAUUAGUUUUUUAAUUGAAAGCUGGAAUGAACGAUUGGACGAGAAAAUAACUGUCUCAAUUUAAUUUUUUUUAGAAUUUUAUUUUUAAGUAAGAAAGCUUAAAUUUAAUUAAAAGACGAGAAGACCCUAUAGAGUUUUAUAUUUAAUUUAUUAUUAGUUUUUAAGCAUUAUUUUAUUUAUAUUAAAUUAAAUAUUUUGUUGGGGCGAUAGAAAAAUAUUAUUAACUUUUUUUAUAUUUUACCAUUAAUUUAUGAUUAAAUGAUCCAUAUUUUAUGAUUAAAAGAAUUAGUUACCUUAGGGAUAACAGCGUAAUUUUUUUUUAGAGUUCUUAUCGAAAAAAAAGAUUGCGACCUCGAUGUUGGAUUAAAAUAAAUGUUUGGUGUAGAAGCUAAAUAAUUAGGUCUGUUCGACCUUUAAAAUUUUACAUGAUCUGAGUUUAAACCGGCGUAAGCCAGGUUGGUUUCUAUCUUUAAUUUAUUUUAAUAUUUUAGUACGAAAGGACCAGAUAUUAAUAAUAAUUAUUUUAUUUUGAAUAAUAUUAG